GGCAGCGGUCUCAGAGGAAAUGGUGCUAGUAAGUAGUUCGCCUGGUUCAUAUUCGAUUCACAAGAGCUUUUGUUGCGCCGAGCUUCGGUGUCGCUCCUGCCUGCGUCUCUUAGGAUUGAGCUAUCCGUGGUGCUGAAACCGCCGACUCUUCCCUGGGAACUUAACUUUUGGGCUCCCUCCGUCUGAAUGGCGAAGGAGAUGGAAACUGCUCAGAAUGAAACGUGGAGGAUCGAAAAUUGCAACCAACUACACGACAUGCCAUGAAUGUACCGCUGUUUUUGGGCAGAGUGGUUUUACUGGAAACCUGCCUUGAUGUGUACUGAGGGGGAUCGCCUACUCAUUCAUUCUUUGGAACCCAUCUUUCUUGAUAAUAGUUCUUGUCCUUCCAAUAACUUACCAAGAGAUACCAGGUGAUGGAAUUGCCUCCACUUUAUUUUAAUGUGCAUAACAUACUUUUGUGAAGUAAGGUAGGUUAUUAAAAAUGAACAAAGGAAAAUAAAGUUUUAGAAACCAGAAGUUAACUUUUAUUGAACUGCUCAAUGCGUAAUGUUGGAAGAUUGGGAAAUAUAUAUUUGCGAGAUGAGCACAAACAGUGUGACAAAAAUAUUGGAAACUAUGAGAACAUGCCAGGCUGGCAGGUAUUUACCAGCAAUUCCCCUCCAUACACACAACUCUUUGGGGGCAAGGAUUUGAGCUCGAAAAUUGUGAAAUGCACUGUCAUGCCAUGACAAUAUUCAGAGAAGGCAAAUUAUGUGCAAAGGUUUUUGCACAUAACGUGCUUGUACACACGUGUAUCACUUACCAGGGUGAUAUCAUGACAAACAUAUAUAAUUUCCUUAAUUAUCAUCACCCAGUUGAUCUACAAUCUUCACAAUGCAGCAUGCUAAGAGUUAAAAUAAAUUGUUCUCAUUUAACAUUUAACAUAGUAACAUUGGAGAAAACAUGAACACAUUGGUUGACACUGAAUCAGAAAAGAAUAAGCUUUGCAAGCAGUGGGUUACCAAAAUAUAGAAUGGUGAAUACAUUUCCUUGGACAACCAGAGGUGGCAUCUACCAACAUGUUUGAAAUCGGCAGUGACUCUGAAUUAUUCGAACUUUACGUGUCUCAAUUUUGGUGCAUAGAACUAAAGAUGAAGGAACAUUUUUAUCAAGCUCCGGGUUUUUACAUUAGGAAUGCGCUUUUUGUUUUCGGAAGUGACAAGUGCUUUUAUUUCAGUGUCAGAACCAAUGUCACUGCUGCCUCCAAGAAGUAACGGUAAUGAUAAUAGUAAAGAAUGCAUUGCUUGUGAAUGUGAAUGAUGGUGAAAGCAUUGUCCUUUGUGAGCUGUCUAAGUAUUUCAGUGCCCGGAUAUAGAUUAUGACAUGAUUUGCAGUUUAUCUAUUCUCUUCUGUUUGUGCAAAAGAGACAAUGAGUUUGGAAUGGUGAUAUUUCUAAUGCCUGAUUACUUUUAUUUCGACCUAAACGCAUUUACAUUCUGUACAUGUGAUUGCAAGUUAUAGCAGAUUUCAGUCCCAUACAGAUCCAAUAAAUCAAAAAGAAUGAAGGCCCUGUUCUUUUUUGUAUUGAAGUUUAUCCCAAUAUUAAGGCGCAAUUCGUUGUAACAUACAACAUAUAAAGUGUUACCACAAAAUAUAACUUGUAAAUUUCUGAACAUGAUGUCUCUGUAAAAACAAACAUAUCAAUUAUAUUUUAGGAAACUAACCUAAAUGGCAUUAACCAAUAAAAUAAAAAUGUGUGCUAAUCAAACAAUACGAUUUAAAAUGCAGUUUAUUGGUCUCUAAUGCAAUUGAUCUUAGUUGAAG